UGCCAGCAGCCGCGGUAAUACGGAGGGGGCGAGCGUUAUUCGGAAUUACUGGGCGUAAAGGGUGCGUAGGCGGCCCAUCAAGUUAGACGUGAAAGCCCCGGGGCUCAACCCCGGAACUGCCUCUAAUACUGCUAGUCUUGAGUUCGAGAGAGGUGAGUGGAAUUCCGAGUGUAGAGGUGAAAUUCGUAGAUAUUCGGAGGAACACCAGUGGCGAAGGCGGCUCACUGGCUCGAUACUGACGCUGAGGUGCGAAAGCGUGGGGAGCAAACAGGAUUAGAUA
rnacentral:rRNA from 1 species